ACAAUGCGGGACUAUCAGUCUUGCAAUUGGAUUGAGAACAAUGUACAACUCUUAUCGAUAAGCCAUUGGAGGGCAAGUCUGGUGCCAGCAGCCGCGGUAAUUCCAGCUCCAAUAGCGUAUAUUAACGUUGUUGCAGUUAAAAAGCUCGUAGUUGAAGUGUGGGUGAUCGCUGUUGUGAGACUUCGGUCUCUCGACAGUAAGUCACCCCCUUCCAGUAUCCAGUAGUGGGUAUUCAGUUACUUACUAUUGUGUGUUGGUCCUUUACUGUGAGAAAAUUAGAGUGUUCAAAGCAGGCGUUUGCUUGAAUAGAUUAGCAUGGAAUAAUAAUUGAAGGCUUUCGUGUUCGAUUUGAUUGGUUUGUUCAUGGAAGCAAGGUUAAAAGGAACAGUUGGGGGUAUUCAUACACAUGUAAUAGCGGUGAAAUUCUCGGAUUUAUGGAA
rnacentral:rRNA from 1 species